AAUGUACUCCCUCCAUCCGGAAAUACUUGUCCUAAAAAUAGAUGUAUCUAUAACUUAUUUUAGUUAUAGAUACAUCCAUUUUAUACAUUUUUAGGACAAGUAUUUUCGGACGGAGGGAGUACUAU
rfam:Hordeum vulgare subsp. vulgare, WGS project CAJW01000000 data, contig: morex_contig_160580